UACGGGGGGGGCAAGCGUUGUUCGGAAUUACUGGGCGUAAAGGGCUCGUAGGCGGCCAACUAAGUCGGACGUGAAAUCCCUCGGCUUAACCGGGGAACUGCGUCCGAUACUGGAUGGCUUGAGUUCGGGAGAGGGAUGCGGAAUUCCAGGUGUAGCGGUGAAAUGCGUAGAUAUUGGGAGGAACACCAGUGGCGAAGGCGGCUCACUGGACCGGUUCUGACGCUGAGGCGCGAAAGCGUGGGGAGCAAACGGG
rnacentral:rRNA from 1 species